rnacentral:miRNA from 15 species
UACACCUAUACUCCGGUAACAU